rnacentral:lncRNA from 1 species
GGGAGGGUAAAAGGAAGGAGGUGGGCUCGGUAGCCUCGCCCUCUUGCCUAAAUUCUGAAGGUGACACUUAGCCAGCCCCGCACCAUCUUUUGUCCCUUUUCCCUCUUACCCUUCGUCCUUUUUUUUCUACUUCCUCCCUCCUUUUCUCUUUCCACUUCCUUUCUCCCCUCCCCCUCCUACUCUCUUCUUCUUUCCUCUCCCACCUCCUCCUUUUUCCCAUUUCCCUUCCCUCUCUUCCUCCCCCUUCCUUCUUCUUGAUACACACCUCUACCCACUUAUCCACCUUCCAACCCUUAACCCUGGAGGAGGACACGUGGGAGAUUUGGCCCCAGAGGAUGUCCUGUGCAGUGUGAAGAGAAGAGGGAUUCCCUGUGGACAAUGACAUCCUCCAGAUGUUUCUCUUUAUGGCUGAUAAUGUGUGAACUGAUCAAGCCCCCAAGUACCACAGAACCUCUUCAACAAAAGUCAUGGAUAUUCAGAAGAGAUUGGAUUGACACAUGAAAAUUCAAAUGGAGGAAGAAUAUCUAUUCUUUUGGCUAUGAGAUGCAGCUGGAUGGACAGUCUGUAUAGUUUAUUCCUCAGCACAUCUUGAAUGAACACUGAAGAUUGAAAAUAAGGUAGACCCAGAAUAGAAACAAGAGAAAGGGAAUGACCUAGAUUUAAGUUUAUAAGUUACGUAGCUCUUUAAGUGAUCCCACACUGACAUAAAAAUUCAUCUUUUUAAACACUAA